rnacentral:misc_RNA from 1 species
GAUGAAGAACGCAGCGAAAUGCGAUAAGUAAUGUGAAUUGCAGAAUUCAGUGAAUCAUCGAAUCUUUGAACGCACAUUGCGCCCCGUGGUAUUCCGCGGGGCAUGCCUGUUCGAGCGUCAUUUCACCACUCAAGCCUCGCUUGGUAUUGGGCGACGCGGUCCGCCGCGCGCCUCAAAUCGACCGGCUGGGUCGAUCGCACCCUCAGCGUUGUGGAAACUAUUCGCUAAAGGAGUUGUGGUCGGUCACGCCGUGAAACAAACCAAUCUUUCAAUGGUUGACCUCGGAUCAGGUAGGGAUACCCGCUGAACUUAAGCAUAUCAAUAAGCGGAGGA